GCCUGGCUUAGUGGUUAAGUGCUUGCACUGCCACUCAAACGGUCAGGGAGUUCGAGUCUCCCCUGUGGGGCA
rnacentral:tRNA from 1 species